CUUUUACUCUCGUGAACUUCGGAAGUGUAAACGACGACGUUUGGGUGUUGUAACUGGAAAGGGCUGCGAUUGUGGCAGAACCGGUUCAGAGUUGAGACGAAUCAGAACGACGGCUCUGUUGUACCUUACCGUGGAAAGUAAGAGCUCCGUCGGUUCUGGGUUUGAAAAUCCUGGUUAAUUUUGAGGUUCUUGACAGGAUUUAAUCGAUUCAGAUGA